AGUACGCUUUCAGCGUUCGCUGGCACAGCGCCGAGCGCACGCAAUCCUCUUUGGUAAAGCGCACCACCCCAACCAUCUCAUCUUCCUCAAAACGUUCAAGCGCAUCGCUUAACCCCGAUAAUACGCCGCGCGGCAAAUCACAUUGGGUGAUAUCGCCGUUGACGAUAACCGUCACGUUUUCUCCGAGGCGCGUC
rnacentral:antisense_RNA from 1 species